ACCUUUUCAAAUUUUCAUUAUCUUUUCUCGUUACAGUUAAAUUAUGGUAAUCUUCUAUAACAGGGGUGGGACCAUUAUGGAAUGAAGUUAUUUGCCACUUUAUUGAGCUUACUGAUAGUUCAAAUCAGCAUGUGAGAACUAUAGCACUGAAUGCAAUGGAUCAAUCUAUUUCCGCUGUUUUAGGAUCUAAUCAGGUCCAGGAAUAUGCAUCAUCCAAGCUCCAGGGUGCAUGCAAUGAUGUACAAACUGAGAAUAUAGAGUUGAGGUCACUGGAGUGUGCUGUCAUUUCUCCACUGAAAGUGCUAUAUUCUUCAGCUCAGAACAUCGAUGUUCGUGCUGGAUCUCUCAAAAUUCUUCUUCACGUUUUAGAGGUAGUGUUAUCCAAGUUACUGUUUUACUCCAUAGCACUGAUUCACAGAUGCAGAACUCUCUUCUUGUGAUCCUCUCUCACUGCUGUUU